GAGGUGGGCAGGACAAAUCCUUAAAGGGUCCACGCCCCGUGAGUAGAGGGUGACCCGGAUGAUGGCGGCCGGCGCGGCCGUAGCACUGGCCCUGUGGCUACUCCUGCCAGCAGUAGGAGUGGGAGAGGCAGGGCCGCCGCCUAUCCAGGACGGCGAGUUCACAUUUCUGCUUCCCGCCGGGAGAAAGCAGUGUUUCUAUCAGUCCGCACCGGCCAAUGCUAGUCUUGAGACCGAGUACCAGGUGAUCGGAGGUGCUGGGCUGGACGUGGACUUCACCUUGGAGAGCCCUCAGGGUGUGCUGUUGGUCAGUGAGUCUCGAAAGGCUGAUGGGGUACACACGUGAGUGAAGUCCUGCCCUGCCUUGGUUCAGUUACAGCCCUGCAGCUCCCCAGUGGCCUCAGGUUACCAUCCUACUGGUUCCACAGACCAGCUGGCUGGUCACUCCAGGGUCACGUCUAUGUCUCAUCUGUCUGCCCAGGGUGGAGCCUACUGAGGCCGGAGACUACAGGCUGUGCUUUGACAACUCCUUCAGCACCAUCUCAGAAAAGCUUGUGUUCUUUGAGCUCAUCUUUGACAGCUUCCAAGAUGAGGAGGAGGUAGAAGGUUGGGCGGAGGCUGUGGAGCCAGAAGAGAUGCUUGAUGUCAAAAUGGAAGACAUCAAGGAAUCCAUAGAGACCAUGAGGACCCGGCUGGAACGGAGCAUCCAGAUGCUCACUCUGCUCCGAGCCUUUGAGGCUCGUGAUCGAAAUCUUCAAGAAGACAACCUGGAGCGGGUCAACUUCUGGUCAGCUGCCAAUGUGGCUGUGUUGCUGCUGGUGGCUGUCCUGCAAGUCUGCACACUCAAGCGCUUCUUCCAUGACAAGCGCCCUGUACCCACGUAGCCCCUGCCACAGAGGAUGAGGGCAGCGGGUGUGUGACUUGCUGGACACCUCCCAGACUCAGAUGAGACACUACAUAGUUGGGUCCUUAGCAGUGGCCCCAUGUGUCUCCCUUCCUCAGUGACCAGGGAGUGCCAAUGGCUCACAGACCCCUCGGAAGGGGGAGGGCUCAGCGACUGUGCCUGUUCCUUGGAGGGUGGAAGUGCUGGGCGCAGCAGUGUGGGGACACUGCUCUUGGAUGCCCUGGCUUUCUCCUGAAAUCGUGCCUUAGCUUCAGUCUUGCAGCUAUCAGGAUGGGGUGAAGCUGUGGUGCUGCCCCCCACCCUCCAACUAGACACCCCAACUGCAAUGUCUCUGCUCUCCUCCUGGGGUAAGCCUACUUCACUAGGGUCUGGGAAGGAGACACAUCUGCAGAGUUCUUGCCAGGACAGUCACUUUUAUUUGAAAGGAAGGAGCCCUGGCCCCUUGGCCCAGAGGGGAGCCAGCUAGUAGGUGGUUUGGGAGAGGCCCCUUCCUUCUCUCUGGGUGCAGGGCCUCAGAGAAGGCUGGCCCAUGAGCCUCAAGGAACAGAGGGCAUUUGUCCUGGGCACUGGAGUCAAUAAAUUAUGGUCAGAAAGUUAAUAGUGCCUGGUGACUGGGCUUAGGGAUGUCAGCUUGGGACAGACCUAGCCUCAAGCCAGGGCAGCCAGGAAGGGGGGACACUCCCACGAAGCUCAGAAGAAAGGUCGGGCAGGAGCCAAUGGAGGUGGUCGCCUGGCACGAAAGAAAAAGACCAUAAACCAUGGCUGAAUGAACU